AUUGAACGCUGGCGGCAGGCCUAACACAUGCAAGUCGAACGAGUGGCGGACGGGUGAGUAAUGUCUGGGAAAAUGCCUGAUGGAGGGGGAUAACUAAUGGAAACGGUAGCUAAUACCGCAUACCAUCGGAUGUGCCCAGAUGGGAUUGGCUAGUAGGUGGGGUAAAGGCGCACCUCGGCGACGAUCCCUAGCUGGUCUGCUAGGAUGACCAGCCCAACUGGAACUGAGACACGGCCCAGACUCCUACGGGAGGCAUCAGUGGGGAAUAUUGCACAAUGGGCGCAAGCCUGAUACAGCCAUGCCGCGUGUAUGAAGAAGGCCUUCGGGUUUUAAAGUACUUUCAGCGGGGAGGCGUUACCCGCAGAAGAAGCACCGGCUAACUCCGUGCCAGCAGCCGCGGUAAUUC
rnacentral:rRNA from 1 species